ACCCGCACAAGCGGUGGAUGAUGUGGUUUAAUUCGAUGCAACGCGAAAACCUUACCCACCUUUGACAUGGCAGGAAUCCUGAAGAGAUUUGGGAGUGCUCGAAAGAGAACCUGCACACAGGUGCUGCAUGGCUGUCGUCAGCUCGUGUCGUGAGAUGUUGGGUUAAGUCCCGCAACGAGCGCAACCCUUGCCAUUAGUUGCUACGAAAGGGCACUCUAAUGGGACUGCCGGUGACAAACCGGAGGAAGGUGGGGAUGACGUCAAGUCCUCAUGGCCCUUAUAGGUGGGGCUACACACGUCAUACAAUGGCCGGUACAGAGGGUAGCCAACCCGCGAGGGGGGAGCCAAUCCCACAAAGCCGGUCGUAGUCCGGAUCGCAGUCUGCAACUCGACUGCGUGAAGUCGGAAUCGCUAGUAAUCGCGGAUCAGCAUGUCGCGGUGAAUACGUUCCCGGGUCUU
rnacentral:rRNA from 1 species